ACUGACUCAUCAUGUUUUUCUUCAACUAUUGCUGACUGACCAGUAGGUUAUCUUGGUUUUGGUUUAUGAGCUAGACUAUGUAAGUUGGAAACUAAACUUAACAUUUACAACAAAGCAGUAUGAACAUCUCAAUUUCUCCUUCUAUUGACAUCACAAAGGUGGCUCUGAAUCAUAGCUAUUGUCAUGGGGUGAAUGGCCCAUCCCCACUCUGGGGACCUGGGCCCAGCACCUCAGCUCACCCCGUGGUCUAGCCUCGGCGAAAGCCCCCAGUGGACUGGGUCUUUUGGCUCGGGGUCUAAUCCACCACACCCCAGUCAGCGGGGUAGGGCAGCCCAGUGGCCAAGUCUCUAGCGCUCCCCCUGUCUGUGGGGUCAAUAUGGCUCAGUGGCCAAGUCUAUAAUGCCCCCUUGGGUCUACGGCAGUUCAUGAGAGUUAACCAGCUAGCAUCCAUGCAUGAAGAUGAAGUGACUGGACACCAGGAUGAUGUAUCUGCCUGUUCUGUUGUGUGAGCAGGAAUCAGACUGGUGGAAAGCGAUGAGGUGGAGCUUCACUCAUCUGUCGGAGACAUGUGUAUGCCGAGUGUCUUCAGUGUGGCACGUGAGUCCUUUAGUGUAUGGAGUGAGGCAUUGGUGGAUUCAGCAAAGAACUUGGUUCCCUCGAAAGGCAAGUCUUCAUUUGUGGCCUGGACUUCUCUGGGAAAUCCAAAAAGUUGGAGCCACGAUGCCCAUCUCAUGACAACUGCACAGACAAUGGCAUUUGCUGAGGUAUCGGCAAAGUCCAGUUUGCAGUUGGGAGAUAUUGUGGCUGGCAUCUGCCAGAUGAUAUUUGCUGGGUCCAUGAGAACUUCAUUCAUCGGGAGAGCAAGUUUGGCAUGUGGAGAGGCAUGCAAUAUAUUCGGCAGCUUAUGCUGACUUACAAAAACCUCCUGCUGACUGUAUUGCUGGGGGAAGGAAGGCAAUUGUCUUCUAAGUCACUUCAUUGCUGAUGGUCUGUCUGCAUUGCCUUUUAAACUCUGCAACUCAUCGCAAUCUUUGUUAAACCUUGCAACUCGCUGUCAUCUUUGUAAAACUUUGCAACUUUGUAACUCUCAGCAACUUUGCUUUAUAAGUUCAGAAACUUACUGUAAGCUGC